rnacentral:miRNA from 2 species
AAAGGCAGUAUCUGAUGCAG